rnacentral:lncRNA from 10 species
AUUUAUUAUGAAGAAUUGGUUCAUGUGAUUAUGAAGCCUAAGAAGUCCCAUCAUCUGCUCUCCAGCACCUGUAACCCAGGAAAGUUUGCAGUAUAAUUUUGUCUUAGUCAGAAUGCUUGAGAACCAGGGGAACAAAUGGUGUAAAUCCCAGUCUGAGGGUAGGAGAAAAUGAGAUGAGAUGUCUUGGCUCAAACAGUGAGGCAGAAAAGGAGAGGUAAAUUCCUCCUUCCUCUGCCUUUGAUUCUAUUCAGGCCUUCAGUGAAUUGGAUAAUGUCCACCCAUAUUGGGAAGGGCAGUCUACUUUACUGCAUCCACUGAUUCAAAUGCUAAUCUUCUGCAGACAACCUCAUAGGCACACCCAGAAAUAAUGUUUAAUCUGAGCAUUUCAUGACCUACUCAGGUUGACAUAAAAUAUUAAGCAUCCUAGGUGGGAUGUUGUCUUAUUCACAUUAGCUGUUACAUUUGACUAUAUUAUUCAUUCAAAAUUUUUAAAUCUUAAAUCCCAUAACCAUGUGUACUCCUAGAUUGCCUCAUAACUUUUAGAAUUUGACACCUAUUUUAACCAUAAACUCAUAUUUUCAACCUAAAUGAUUGGCACGUGCCCACUGAAAAAAUGAAUGUGAAGAAAAGUGAAUUAAUAAAAUGUCUGGAACGUGUGUAUUUAGAAACAAAAUAGAAGUUAAUGUUAAGUGAACCCAUCAGGGAAUUGAACUAUAUAUUGACUUUCAUUGAAUACAUAUCAAUUUUGUUGAGACUGACAUUUAAGAAAACCAGGCUCUCCAUAAUUUCAAAGUUCUAUCCCUGUCAAGAGUUAAUUCACCAAAGUGGCCUCCUCCCUGAGUUAAGUUUUCAGUUUCAUCCUUGACUUUUAUAAAAUAUUUGUAAGAAGUAUCUAUCUGAACACUGUGUUUUUCCUUGGAAAAUUAUAUUUAAAUAUAUUCUUUAUUAAGUUAUACAUUCCUUCUUACAUGAAGGUCUGUUGGACAUUUUUUUCAGUGGAAGGAAAUCAUUUGUUUUACACAUGAACUUUUACACUUUUGUUGCUAUUGUUGUUUUGUUACUGAGAACAACCUAAGUCUAACUCCUUUCCUCCUUCCCUAUCCAUGGAGUUCAAAGCUGUAUUAAAAAUUUAUUGAAAAUUUGUAAUAUAAAAGAUACUGUGAAGGGUACAAAGAUUGAUUGAACACUGAUCAGGAAACAUCCAGAGGGAUAUUAAACUUAUGUGUAAACAACAGUGGCACAAGAAAUAAAGUGCUAAUGACUUUAAUGAGGUUCAGGAAAGAGAUGACUUUCAAUAGUGGAAAACUAUAGCAAUUAACUCUUAAAAGCAUGUAUCUAUCAUCAUUUAAAAUCCUCUUAAAAGUGUGUGUCUGUCAUCUUUUAAAAAUGUGUUUUUCCUCAAUUAUUUUUAUUCUUCAUGACAAAAUUAAGUCAUAUCCUUUCUAGAGAUAGGCAAGGAAUAUAUCAUUACUUAUCACAAUUAUAAACCCUUAUCAUACUCAACAUCACACAUCCUGAUAAUCCCCUACAUAAUUUUAGAAUUGUCUUUAAAUUAGAUGGAAACAAGGAAUUUUUUUGCUAUCGAAGAAUGAUAAAAUUUUAAAAAGAUUAAAGAAGAUUGUGAAAUUCCCCGGAAAGGGCAAAAUAAUAAUCUGUCCUGGAUUAUAUAAUUGUUCACCUUUUUGAAGUCAGAAGUGAACCAGAUAAAUUAUGAGGACAAUUGUCAUAGCUCUCCUUUUUAUGCUGUUGAUUUUCCUCAUUAGAGUGAGAGAAGCACUACGUACACCUAAUUCUGUGUGCAUAUUGUCUGGUCAGUGUGUGGUGUAGGGGUAUAUGUGUGUCUCUCUGUGGCUUUGUGUGUUUCUGUGGGUCUGAUGUCUAUGUCUGUGCAGGAGUAAUAUUUACCAUGACUGGAAUCUAGAACUUUAUCAAAAAUUUAUUGACAUAAAAGUGAUAACUGUGAAAUAAGUAAAAUCAGUAACAAGACAAUAUAAAAACAUAUUUUUGAAAAUAAGAGAUUGUGUCAUAAUUAAAUAUUUGGAGGAGGUAGAAAUAAUUAUGUGGCUUCUCAUGAAGCAGCUGCCUUCAGAUGCUCUAUGUACAAAAUGGAGUUUUGAUGAUUCCACAUCUAAUAUUUAAUUGUUUUUAAAAUAUAUUGAGAGGUAGUAUGCAUUUUUUACAAAAGUGUCCUUUGUUAAAUAUUUCAUUUAAUUUCAAUGUAAUUUCAUGAAGUAUAGUUUUCUGAGCACCAUUUUAUUUACGUGAAACUCUCUGUAUCACAGAUAACAGUGGAGGAAAUGAAAAUAUUUUACCCCCAAAUAAACUUCUUUGAUAUAUUUUGAGAUGGCUGUUUAAAGGGCCUGCAGACAGGAAUAGCCCUGCAAAGCUGUGUUUUGUUCGAGAGAUUUGCAUCUGUAUGGAAUGUGCAUUGAUGUAGCCAAGCUUUCUCUGAGGCCCUCCCUUCUCAGGAUCUAGGAAAAAUUAACUGAGAGUCUGAUACCUUAAAAGUCUGAAAGAAACAUCCACCAUCUCUUCUCUGGCAGCUGCUACCUGUAAAGUUUCAGCUAUACAACAAGACCACCUUUGCCAGCCAAGCCUGCCUGAUCUUCUCUCCAGUAACCUGUCUUGAGACUAUAAUCUGAUUUACCACCGUAACCUGUUUUUGGCCGCCAUUCUUUCUGUAAUCUUGAGAUGGUAUAUAAGCUUCUGCACCCCAUUAGAGAGUUGGGAAUAAUCACUCUGUGAUUUUCCCCUGUGAACACGAGUAAAUUUGUAUGCCUUUUCUCUUAUUCAUCUGCCUUUUGUCAGCUGAUUUUUCAGCAGACCUCCUGAGGGUAAAGAAGUUUUCCCUUCCCUACAAAAACUAGAUGUUGAUGAAAUUUUAAUCACUAGUCAAAGCCUAACUUAGCUGACCUUCGGUGUUGUGGCGUCCUCUCUAUUUCAGGAUAAUUUAAUCCAAACUUCAUGGACCAAAUUGUUUCUAUGAUUAUGUUUGACAGAAAAAAAGGAAGCAGAGUUGCUAGCUAUUUCUAAGUUGGCUAGUGUAGCUAGAGGCUUUUCUUAGCCCACAUUUUCCGUUUGCCAGCACUGUGAUCAAGGCUCAGCUUCCCUUUGUGUGAUAUAGAAAGCUUGUUAGAAUGUCAUGAUUCCAUAAAUGUGAUCACCACUGUUAAAGGUGCCUUCGCUAGUUAAUUCAUCUCAUUUCACAGUUUGGGUUGUGGCAGGGUGGCUGUGUUUAGAAGUCCUUUAAAGUAGGGGUUCUAUGACAGUCUUUUUGUUCACACAAUAAGCUCUCCAUGAUGAAAGAGGAUCUUACAUAAAAUACAUUUAUGAUCUAAAGAGUACAUCCUCAUUACAUUUUUAGAUCUCCAUUUCAAAGAUAUCAUGCCUACUUUACUCUCAUGAAGUAAGACCUCUCUAAAGUGCAUCACAAAUGGGCUGUCACGUACUGGGUCAUAAACUGUAUAUUGGUUGAUUAGAGCAAAAUAAAAGGCAACAUCAGGAUUCACUCCCCUGGAAGUUGGCAUUCUCACCACCAACUUUUACCCUUACCUGUCUGUGGUACCUCUCUCAGCACCCCACCUCAUUUCUUUUAGAUCAAUCUGUUAUAAAACACCCCUGUAAGUGGCUUUAUUCUCAUGGUAAGGCUUGUGAAUUUGAGUUUUUUGUUUCACAAAAGGCUAACAAAUUCUGCUUUCACUCAGUCUCUGAAUAGUGUUAACCAGCUAAACAAGAAUAAUAAAAAGCCCACAGCUCCCUGGCUUUGCAUAGAUUUUACCUGCAAGUAGAAGAUCAUUUCAAAGAAUUUGAGCCUGCUGAUUUUGAUGACAACUCAAUUAAUUUAUUUCCCAUUUGUUAUGAUCAGCUGCAGCUUAAUACUCAAAGGGUGAGGAGAUGGGAGAUGUAGCAUAAAGACAAAUGAAGCUGAACAACAAAAUUUCUUUGUAUUCAAAGGAAGUACUGUGGAAAAUAUCAUUUUUCAGACAUUCAUUGACUUUCUCUAGAACUCAGUAGCAUUAAACACAUCCUUUUACAAACUGUAGCAGUCCCUGUCUCCUCAGAGUCAAACCAUCUUUAAAGAAAAGGACAGGUGAAAAUAAAAGUUAAGUGACUGGGCAAAAACAAGAUAUAAGAAGGAGAUACUUGCGGGUGUGGUUUAAAUAAAGAACACAGAGUGUGAACCUACUAACAGCAAAGACAUUAUUGAGAAAAAAUAACCAAAGCUCAAACAUGAAAACAUGAAAAUUAAAUACUCAUGAAAAAACAGCUAAGAAAUUAAACAAAAUGUUGAAAAACAUUGUUAUAGCAUGACCCAUGUCUAAAAAUAUCAUGAAUUGUGGAAAACGUCUAGAAGUUAUAUAUUAAAAAACAAGACAAGUUAGAAGCAAUAUUUUACCAACAUCCAAAAUAUAGAUUAAGAGACAGGCAUAAGUUUAAAUUUCUCUUUUCUGAAAUUAUAUUUUUCAUAAAUUAUGGCAAGUUCGAAGUGAAUGUAUGUGUCUGCACAUUUUUCCAGAUUACUUACAAGUGGUGUGGAGAGGAAUGGGGUGGGAGCAGAUGCUUGGCAAUAUUUUGGGAAGGUAGUUAAUUUUGAAGCAGCUGCUGACAAUUUUCCUACAGUAUUAUUCAUCAUUUAAAAAAAUAAAAUGAUUAUAAUUACCCUGAUAUGUCAUAUCAUGUGUGACUGACAAAAGGAAAUGAUGGUGGAGAUAGACAAAAUGUCCACAUCCCAGGAGUAGACGCUCAUUACUCCAAAACUCCUGAGCAGCAGACUUCCAAGGGAUGUUGCCCCAACGAAUGAAGCUCAGGUAAGUAAUAAAAUCAAGCAGAAGGCCUGCAAGUGCCAGGAGCCACCUGAUCAGAGCUCAUUUAGUGAUUGUCAUCACUUUGUAGCAACCAUGCAGUUAAUACCCAGUGUAUCUGACACCUGCUAUGUUAAAUUAGUACUUGCAGAAUUAACACCUGCUGUCAGCCACCCAGCAUGAAUGUUGCUUUCUUCAGAAUAAAGGACAAAUAAAUUAUUUCCCUAGAAAUUUGUGUAAAUUAUUUUUGUGGAUGGAGAAUUACUUGGAAACAAUUGGGGACUGGCAAUCAAGAUUCUUCAUUUUUUAUAGUGUUAGCACCGUGUGUAACUCAUAGUCUUUUUCUGGCUGUCAGUGUAGAAGGCUCAAAAUUGAGCUUAAUAUCAUCCCGUGCAUCAAACAAGAGACUGGAGGUAAAAAUGUUUUCUAAAGUAUGAAAACCUAUGCAGGUGUGAAGUGGUAUGUUAAUUGCCCAUUAAUAAUAAUCAUAAUAAAUUUGUCAUUUUAAAUUCUCAUAGAUUAUUUAUGAAUAAGAAAAUCUUCUGUUUUACAUUUGCUUGCAGUAGGUUACAGCACUUCUUUUACUCAUAUAAAACUAUACCUAUUUCUAUUAUUACUAUACAUAAUGUAUUGGUGUCUUUCUUUUAAAAACGUUCGUGUAUCAUAAUUAAUAUUAUAUGUUACAUGGUAUAAUAUAUAAUGUAUACACAUAUGCAUAUACCAUGAGCAAAUUACUUAAUUCCCUAAUAUCUAUCUCCCUAUACAUAAAACAAUGAUAUUAUUAUGGUAUAAUGUUUCCAUUUAUUAUUACAUUAUUGUAUUAUUCUUAGUACAAUGCCUGAUACUGUAGGAUAACCCUUUCCCUAACAAAAAAACAAAAUGAACAAUAUAAACCAAAACAAAGACAAGCCCAAAACAUCAUUAUACCACAAAGAUUUCCAUAUUAAAUGUUGUGGAAAACACUAUUAAGUAUAAAGUUUCUGACUUCAUAGUGCUUAAAAUGACAUUGGGAAAGUGAUUUUAUCAUUCCCUGUAAUUCAAAAACAAUUAAAUAAAUAUUCUCAAGAAGCAAAAUGAUAAAGUAGACAUUGGGGAAAGUUUCAUUUUGAAGAACUAGGGUUAGGUAUUAAGAACUUGAAACGGAAGCAAGAAAGUUGCAUGACCUCUAGCAGGUAACUUAAUUUUUCUUUUUUCUUUCUUUUCCUUUUUUUUUUUUUGAAACAGAGUUUCGCUCUUGUUGCCCAGGCUGGAGUGCAAUGGCGCAAUCUUGGCUCACUGCGACUUCUGCCUCCCAGGUUCAAGCGAUUCUCCUGCCUCAGCCUCCCAAGUAGCUGAGAUUACAGGCAUCUGCCACUGAGCCUGGCUAAUUUUUGUAGUUUUAGUAGAGAUGGGGUUUCACCGUCUUGCCAGGCUGGCCUUGGGGUUUCAUCAUCUUGCCAGGCUGACCUUGAACUCUUGACCUUGUGAUUCACCCACCUCAGCCUCCCAAAGUGUUGGGAUUACAGGCGUGAGCCACUGCGCCCGACAGGGCCAGCCUCAUGGGCAUGUGACGUGAGCAGCCACACAUAGUAUGUGUUGGCAUAAUGCUCUGCUGACUUCUUAAAAUUCCUGUUGUUUCCUUGAACAUAUGAUUUGUAAAUGAAAUCCAAUGGAUAUGCACACAAUAGUACACUGUUCCUUGCCAUCUCACUGUCAUAGAGCAUUUGCAAUGACCCAAGAACACAGAAUCCUUGUGGUUGCAUAGUGCAUGGAUCUUCAGCAGGAUUCAAGUGGAGAACAAGAAAAGCAUAUUGUGUCUAUGACUGAGUAAUCAGCAGUGUGUUGACAACCCUCAGAAGCUACUCUACAUUUGAACAAAAACUUGCAUUGAAAAAAGAAUGAAGGCAAUGGUUCUGAGAAACACAGAUAAUCAAGGAAACCUAUCAUAACUUUCUUCCUCAUGUUAACACUCAUAUAAACACUCUGGUAUUAGCCAAACACUUAUACUGAAAAUGAUGGCAUAAGAGGAAUGGGAAAACUAGGGCAACCCUUAAUUCCUUUUCUUUUCAGUACUCUGUAAGCUGUGAGGGUUGGGAGAAUGUGCAUGUAUGAGGUAGUAGAAUAAAAGCAGUGGAAUUUGUUUUUGCACUGCUGCCACUGAUAAUAACAAAAUGCAUAUGCAUGUAUUAGUUACAAAAUGCAAACUGUGUGAUUUCAGUGUUUCUGCAUAUGACUUAAUUGCUCUUACAUUUGCAUUUAAAAACUCCAGUGUACAACAUAUAGAUAAACAGUAAAAUUAAAGGCAAUAAUUUAGAGGUUUAAUUUUCCUUUAUUUAGAACAAUAAAAAGUAAAUUUAAAACACCAUGGCAAGUCAAAAGAUAGGCCAUUAAAGAAAAGAGAAAUCUUUAUACUGCAGUACCUUAAUAGCAUUUUCCCCUUCCUUUUGAACAAGGGGCCUCACAUUUUCAUUUCUCACUGGGCCCCGCAACUUAUGUAGUCAGCCUUGCCUAUUCCUUUCCAACUACCUCAUUCUUAUCCAGAUGCAGUUGCUCCCUUGUUUCUUCCUGAAUGUGCCAAGGUUUCUGGCAUUUCAAGCCCUUUACUGUUGCCCUCGCCUCUGGCUGUCAUGCUCUUUGCCAGAUGUCCCUAUGGUAGCCUUUUUCACUUCCCUCACAUUAUUUCGCCAGUAACACCUUUUCAUUAAAGUUGUUUUUUAAUCUACUUAACUAAAAGUGUAAUCUCCGUUAAUAAGAGUAUUUGGGAUUCUUCUUUUUUUUUAAAAACCUUAAAAAUUUAAUGGUACUUAUCACCUUCUAAUUUACUAUGUAUUUUACUUAAUUGAUUUGCUUGUUUUCUGUCUGCUUCACAAAUAUUUGAGAGAAUGAAUGAAUUACUCUCCAGAAACACACAGGGUAAAUUAUUCAUGACUUUUUCCUACAGAAUAUAUCAUUUUAACCAAAUGACAAAUUUUAGGGCUUUUGUGUUUUGAGUUAAUAUUCAAAAUAAGAUUGAACUUGGUGGUCAAAUGGGAUCUGAGUCUUAGUAUAAAAUUUGAAUUCUUUGUCAAGACAAUGGAUUCACAUUGUAAUUGUGUAAUAAAAUUUAAUUAAAACAAAUAAAAGUUAAUAUUAUAGUUUAUUUAAUUUAAAAUUCUCAACCCAUACAAAGUGUUUAGUAUAACUUUUUAGUGUUUACUUGAAAUUAGUGAGCAUUAAACAUUCUGAGCAGUGAAUGGCAGGUGUUCAUUCUAAUUUAACAAAGCAGGUGUCAAAUAUUGUUUACAGGGGCUAACUGCUACUCCUUCUGGAAAGUGCUUUACUUUGGAGUUUCUCCUAAUUAGAAAUAUCUAGCCAUCACCUGUCAACUUUGUCUCUGUGGGACAGUGAAAUCUUUAGGGAACAUGACUUGAGCAAUCUUUUCAGAUAAAGAAAGGGGAAAAAUGCCAUUAAUUAUUUAGAGAAAAUUCUUUAUUGUCAAAAUUAUAGCUGCACAAUAUAAUUCAUUUAUUCUGGAUAAAUAUAAUACAGACUCUGAGACUAGUACAAUCUGAUAAGUAAAUUAAAUCCCAAAGAUGAUGUAUAAAAAAGCCAAAAAAUGCAAUGUUAGGUUAUAAAUUUCAUAUGUCUUGCAUUAUUGUGCUUCCUAUAAAAUUUCAAAUACCAACAUGUAAGUACUAAGUUCUGAGAAUACCCCAAAGAAACAGAGAGGUAAAAUGUGUAACUUAAUAAUAAUUUGUUCACUCCAGUAAUAGAGAUUUUACUACUGCUCAAACUACAAAAUAAUACUGGUUUCCAGGUAACUGACUCAUGUGGAUCAUUGCUUAUACUCACUGCAUUGUGACUACUAUGUUUUUAAAACUAGGUAUACUGUGAUUUGUGUUGCAAGGAAAGAGCAAGGAACUUCAUCUUCAUAAAAUAAAACUUGACCGUUCCCAUACAGAAUGGUGUCAACAAGUUAAUGAGGUUUUAGUACCUGAGGAAAGUUACAAAAAUGACAUUUAUUUAAUAAGAAUAAAAGUAUUAUUUUUAUCUAGUCAAGUCUUUGAAUUAUAUCUAAAAGGCGCAACUAUAUCAUGAUACACUUGUUAAAUGUAUAAACCUCAAUUGUUGAGUCCCACCAGUGUCAAGGAAUAUGUAUUAGAUUGAACCAUAUGAAAUCAAUGAGAUAAACACAAGCUAUUUAAUGUUUAACCUAAUGCAUGUACAUCUCUGCUAGGAUAAACUAAAUGUUAGUUUUUCACUUAAGUUUGGUUCUCUAUAUGUUGUGGUGGUGGGAGUGAUAGGUACCUGCAUAAUAUGCAUAAGGAAAAUAAACUGAAUGAAUGUGUUCUAUACCAAUUUGGAUUAAAUUAAUAGAAAGAUUUUGUUUCAAAUCAAUUAAGAUUUAUUUGAGCCAUGACUAUUCAGCCACCUCAACCUAUAUUUUCCCAUGGUCUCAUAAAUUUGAUACUUAAGUUUUCUUGUUGUAAAGCUAUAGUAGCAGAGAUUUCUCUCUGUCUCUCUCUAUAUAUGUA